GGAUGUGAGGGCGAUCUGGCUGCGACAUCUGUCACCCCAUUGAUCGCCAGGGUUGAUUCGGCUGAUCUGGCUGGCUAGGUGGGUGUCCUCUUCCUCCGUCACUGCUCCAUGUGUGUCCCUCCCUAAGCUGCGUGCUUGGUCAAAGAGGACGACCUUCCCCGCAUAGAGGAGGACCGGUCUUCUGUCAAGGGUAUACGAGUAGCUGCGCUCCCCUGCUAGAAUCUCCAAACAAGCUACCAAUAUCAGUAAUUUGGAAGCUCAUUCUAGUGCCCUUCAGACAUUGUCAGAGUGCUUUUGAGCAUGCUUAGCUAU
rnacentral:snRNA from 1 species